UACGAAGGGGGCGAGCGUUGUUCGGAUUUACUGGGCGUAAAGGGCGCGCAGGCGGCUCCACAAGUCAGGCGUGAAAGCCCCGGGCUCAACCUGGGAGGUGCGUUUGGGACUGUGGGGCUAGAGAUCGGGAGAGGAGAGUGGAAUUCCCAGUGUAGAGGUGAAAUUCGUAGAUAUUGGGAAGAACACCGGUGGCGAAGGCGGCUCUCUGGACCGAGACUGACGCUGAGGCGCGAAAGCGUGGGGAGCAAACAGG
rnacentral:rRNA from 1 species